AUCCCCGGCUGGCCUUCUGGCUAAGAUUAAGUGUAGUAUCUGUUCUUAUCAGUUUAAUAUCUGAUACAUCCUCUAUCCGAGGACAAUAUAUUACAUGUACUUUUGGAGCUGGGAGAUGGAAUAGGAGUUUGCUCCCUCCACUCCAUGCAUUAACCUCAUAUUGCAGUACUUCUGGGAAAGGUGCACCCCUU
ensembl:snRNA U2 U2 spliceosomal RNA